rnacentral:misc_RNA from 1 species
CCUUGAUUAAAUACAAUGCUGGUAGAUAAAUAAAAAAUCAUUUCUCUAAGCUCCAAGAUAACAAAUUCAAAAGAAAUUGUAGGAGGAGGCGUCCAGUGGGUGGANNNNNNNNNNNGAACCAACGCAACAAGCAUCAACGCGUAGGCGAUUCCUUGAUCUACAGAAGUCCCAUCGCUGGUGGGAGCAGGAGCAGGAGCCUGUGCACGAACAGAGGGGGAGAAAAUAAGGAAAAUAAGAGUGAAGAGGGCAAAAAAUCCGAGGAACGACCUUGAAGAGCCGUAACCUGUCAUUUUUGUAUAUG